AUGAACGCUGGCUACAGGCUUAACACCUGCAAGUCGAGGGGAAACGGCAUUGAGUGCUUGCACUGAAUGGACGUCGACCGGCGCACGGGUGAGUAACGCGUAUCCAACCUUCCCGUUACUGCGGGAUAACCUGCCGAAAGGCAGACUAAUACCGCAUGUUCUUCGAUGACGGCAUCAGAUUCGAAGCAAAGAUCCGUCGGUAACGGAGGGGGAUGCGUCUGAUUAGCUAGUUGGCGGGGCGACGGCCCACCAAGGCGACGAUCAGUAGGGGUUCUGAGAGGAAGGUCCCCCACAUUGGAACUGAGACACGGUCCAAACUCCUACGGGAGGCAGCAGUGAGGAAUAUUGGUCAAUGGGCGGAAGCCUGAACCAGCCAAGUAGCGUGCAGGAUGACGGCCCUACGGGUUGUAAACUGCUUUUAUGCGGGGAUAAAGUGAGGGACGCGUCCCUUUUUGCAGGUACCGCAUGAAUAAGGACCGGCUAAUUCCGUG
rnacentral:rRNA from 1 species